UGUGGCUGGCUGGGAGGGGCUCCAAGAGGUCAUAAGCCCAGCUCCUCGUUCCGGAAAUCUUGGCACAGAGGAGCGGCUUGUAAAAGCACUCCAAAUGUGGCCUCCCAUAAGCAUCCUCUGAGGUCGCGGCUGCGCACGGCAGAGUGAAGGGGGCUGCUUUUCACAACUGCAUGGACGUCCAAUCCUAGAGGGUCUGUUCCUUUCUUCAAGAAGCAUCCACCAGCACCAGGCGGGCGCUGGGACCACAGACAAGUGUCGGAGGAAAGGUGCAGGUGAGGGAGGGGCAGCAGCGGGGCCGGGCUGGGGAGAGCCCCUGGAGGGAGGACCACGGAGGGAGGGGGCUGCAGAGGCAACGGG
rnacentral:lncRNA from 12 species